AUGGGCUUAUAUGGUUCCAACGAACCAGGAUUAGAUUUGGAAAUAUUAAUUAAUCAAUCAUACCAUGCAACCUUGGAAAUACUUUUAUAUUUUGGCUUCCUUAUUGCUUAUGCUGUCAAAUUGCUGAUUAUGCCCCUACAUACGUGGUUACCAGAUACCCAUGGGGAAGGACAUUAUAGUACAUGUAUGCUUUUAGCGGGAAUAUUAUUAAAGAUGGGAGCAUAUGGAUUGAUUCAGAUCAACAUGGAAUUGCUACCUCAUGCUCAUUAUCUAUUUUUGCCCUGGUUAGCAAUAAUAGGAGCGAUCCAAAUAAUCUAUGCAGCUUCAACUUCUCUUGGUCAACGAAAUUUCAAAAAAAGAAUAGCUUAUUCCUCUGUAUCUCACAUGGGUUUCAUAAUUAUAGGAAUUGGUUCCAUAACCAACAUUGGACUCAAUGGAGCUAUUUUACAAAUAUUAUCCCAUGGAUUUGUUGGUGUUACACUUUUUUUCUUGGCAGGAACCGCUUCUGGUAGAAUGCGUCUUGUUUAUCUCGGAGAACUUGGGGGAAUAUCUAUCCCAAUGCCUAAAUUUUUUACCAUGUUUAGUAGCUUUUGAAUGGCUUCUCUUGCCUUACCAGGAAUGAGUGGUUUUGUCGCAGAAUUAGUAGUAUUUUUCAGACUAAUUACUAGUCCAAAAUUUCUGUUAAUGCCAAAAACACUAAUUACUUUUGUAAUGACAAUUGGAAUGAUAUUAACUCCUAUUUAUUUAUUAUCUAUGUUACGCUAGAUGUUCUAUGGAUACAAGCUAUUUAAUGUUCCAAACGCAAAUUUUGUGGAUUCUGGACCACGAGUACUCUUUAUUUCAAACUAUAUCUUUUUACCAGUAAUAGGAAUUGGUAUUUAUCCAGAUUUUGUUCUCUCCCUAUUUGUUGACAGGGUAGAGGCUCUCUUAUCCAAUUAUUAUCCUAAAUAG
rnacentral:rRNA from 1 species